rnacentral:lncRNA from 1 species
UUUUUUUUUUGUUUUCAAAAGUUGUCAUUUAUCCUGGUCAUAAGUCAGUGAUCCCUAACUUAAGAAAUAUAGGUCUUUAGUCUAUAGUACUUGUAUAAACAACUUUACUCUAAUUCUUGUUUCAUUUUCUUGGGAAAUUGAAUGAAGCAUGCAUGAUAAUUUCAUUUGGCAGUUUGUUACUAGAUUAUCCACAAGUGUGAUUGCUUUUGUUGCAGCAUUAACAAUCAUGGUAUGCAUUGACAUCUAAAAUUUCUUAACAGGCACAUAUCUUUUAAUUUAAGGAGUGUUUUGUAAUUGACAUCAAGCUUUUUACAGAGGCAUAUUACAUCAGUGUAUGCUAGUAUUUGUCAAGGUGCUGACGAAAGAUGGCUACAAAUUCUUUAUUUUCUAGAUAAGCAUGAUAGCAUAUUUGAUGUGUAGUGAGACCUUCUCUGACAUCCUUAUGCUUUCAGUGGUUUUGAUGCCCAACAGCCAUGAGGUUGUCAGUUGGAUGUCAUAAACUAUUAAUUUCAGCCCUUAGUAUUUUGUUACUCAGCUGAUUGGCAAGGCUUAUGGUCUUCACUCCAGCUCUUUGUCUAUGGCUUCUAAUCCUCAAUAUCUUGUAAUGAAUUGAUUGACAUAACUCAUUAAUCUCAUUUGGGCUUGCACCAAACAAUGUGAGGUUGGCAACUGUGACCAUUACUUUAAGAUGAGAAGGCGACAGUAGAAAGUUGAUCAGAACUUUGCAUUUGUAAGUCAAUCUCUAUGUUAGCUUCAUAAGAGCUAAUUCCAGUUCCCUAAUUGAAAAAAUGAAAGAAACUAAAGACUUGAUAUUUUUUGGUCUAGUUUGCUGUUGUUUAAGUUGAUGAAACAUGAAGGAAACUCUCAAUUUCUGAUUUGAAAGCAUCUAAACACGGGGGAUACUGUAAUUUAUAAUGUGAUAUUCAAAUACUUAGUUAUCCAAGUCUUUUGAGGCAACUAUAUAUCAAUCAGUAUGACCAGUCAACUAAGGAAACAAUGCUCACAUCUAGAAAGGAGAGAGUUGUUAAUAGUUGAUGUGACUGCCAUGGCAGAUUGAUGUUUCUUUAGGUUUACAUCAAUCUCACAUCAGUGCUAAGGAAACAAUGCUCACAUCAGUAUGGCAAGUGCUGUAAGAUCCAUCACAAUAAGUUAAAAUGGAAAUAUUGGAAUAUUUUUCAUUUUCAUGAUUUUAAUUUCCUUAGGUCAUCAUCUUGUAGCAUCAUGCCAAAUUAUCUAAUAUUUUUCUUCCUUUUUUCUUGACAAAAUAAAAUUGCAUGUCCACCUUUUGAUAUGUUUAUUUUUCAGAGGCAAGUGUCAAAUCAUGUGUCCUUAUGUUCUUCUAUCCAAUCAUUUUGCAGGACCCGACCAUGGCAUGGAGUCAGCAAGCGGAUCCUAAUCAAUGGGCAGGUGCUUAUUAUGGUUAUGGUUAUGAUGCAUAUGCAUACGGAGCGUCUCAAGACCCGUCCUUGUAUGCAUAUGGAGCUUAUGCUGGAUAUGGUCAAUACCCUCAACAGGCAAGAUUAACCACCUUCUAUGUUCUCUUCCACUAUCUUACUUGCACAUAUACUUAUUAGUUCCAACUGCAUGGUUGGAUUCUCUUAUGGAUGUAGUUUUUCGAUAAAUUGGUUAUCUGUUAUCUCGUCAGUUUUACUGAAGUGAUAUUAGAAGAUAUUUAAUAUGCUUUUUUGGAACAUAUCAUUGUUAAUAACUCAUUCAUCUAAGUUCAGUAUCUUCUGAUUCUUAAGAUAGGAUUAAUAUUUUUAUAAUAAAUUAUUUGUUACAGUAAGUUGAUGGAUCCAUAUGCAACUUGAACAAAUUGAUAGCUCUCUCUUUCUAUCCCUCUCUCUCUCUAUUCCUUUCCAUGUCUCCCUUUUUGAUGUUAUUUAGCCGUUUGACCAUGGACCAAUAAUAGACCAUAUGGAUUAGGUAUUGGUCGGUAUUUGAUUGUUUAUCAUUUUUUUCAUAUAGGUCAGUAUACUACCCUGGUAUAACGGUACCAUGUCAAUCCAUCCGCUUUCCGAAACUGCGAUCGACCAAUAUUCAAAACCUACACAUGCCAUGAUCCUUUGUUUCAUCGUACAUGAACAAUAAUAAUAUGUCCCAUGGUACUCGAUUUUGAUGUGGUGAGGAAGUGGGUCCGACCUUUGGAAGGGCAAGGAAUAAGAGGUCUGCUGCUGCUGUGCUGCCUGUUUGGGUAUUGAUAAGAGAACAGGUAAAUGCAGGAUUAGGCACAUCAUCAUCCCAAAAGUAAUUCAACUUCAAUCCAGUAUUGUAUGUGCGGGCACGUAAUUUGCCCAAAAGAGACUCGUCGUGACUUAAAAAAGCUCUUUUAGUGGUUUUUAUCUAUCUUUUUGUGUUGUUCGUACAUCAAAAGCACGUCAUAUAAUAAUGCUUAUUCGCUUGUAUUUCUGGAUCGUGUAGCCUUCACUGCUUAACAUUUGUCUACGGUGUUGUUUCUUCCAGGUCGAAUCUGUACCUGAAAUGACACAUAUGGUUGGUGCAGUUCCAAGCAUGGAGCAGAGGGAGGAGAACUACGAUCCCUUGGCCAUACCUGACGUUGACAAGUCAGUAGUUUUUCUUUAUAAAAUUUCUAUGGCUUGGGUUACUGACUUUUUAUUAUUAUUAUUUAUUUUGAACUUCCCCACACGAUACCUGAUAGUGUUUUUUCGAUUAACUCUAGGUUGAACGCUCAAUACCUCGCAGUUCAUGGAAACGCCAUGCUGGGGAGGCAUUUGUGGUUGAAGACCUCCCUGUCUUAAGCAGAUAUUUUCUGUGUCUCUGUUGAACAGCGAGAGUUAAUUUAUGGAUCUGCUUAAAAGAGCAAAGCAAGCAUGGAGAAUGAGCACAAAGUGUGGCGCAUGAUGGUAAUCUCAUGCAGGUUCUUCUCAUCCGUACCAAGUUUCUUCUAGCUCACAUACAGACGAAGAAAUAUGUCCGAAUUGGUUGAAUGAAUUGUGCUGCUGAGUACCAUAAUGGCCUGGCCUGGCCUGUAUCUCGAAUCCUUUCUUUCCCUAUCGAAUGCUAUGCUGUGAUAUCGCAAACUUUGGUUCAACAUCUACAUGGCUUUAAGUGGCAAUUUUCAGCCCGUUGGUCAAGUUUAUUUUGCUUUUGUAUGCACACACUCUUCACUCUCUUGAGGAACAUCAUCAUAAUUUCUUAUGCUUUUGGGAUAUGCCGUCUGAGUCUGAUGAGGUCUUUAAACCUGGUUUAAUUUAUAAUAAUUUCUUAUCCCUUCGAUUAAUCUAUAAUGACUACAACAACGGUAAAGGUGAUUUAAUUUCAACCGUCUGUUCUUAUCCUGGUAUUCAUCAGACUUUGUGCCUUUCAUGCUUGUAACUACCAAAACUUCAUCUUGGGGAUUUCAGAAAACUCUCCCUUUGCAACAUUAUGACAUUUGCCAUAAGAAAGUUUUUAAUAAUUACAAUCGUAUUUUGAUACUUAUAUCAACUAUUUACUUGGGACUUUCAGCGAGAAGGCCUGUGGGAAUUAAACCAACAGCUUUGGUUCGAUUCCGAAUUGAUCAAAAAUAAUAAUAAAAACCAAUUUUCUCUUAUGAGCCAUAAACUUACUCUUCCAACAAUUAAAUAAACAACUAAUUUAAGAAUAUUUUUUUUAAAAAAAAACAAUUCUGAUUCAAAACGAAACUGAGAUCGCUUGUAAAUGCCAGUUCCAAAUUCUGCACAACAGAUUCUAGUAACGGGUCAGGCGGACCUGAGAAGGUGGCAAAUACCAUCGCAGCGUAGAGAUAUACAUGAAGUGGAGACUAGAAAUCUUCAAGUUACUAAUAAUAACACACCUUAAAGCAUUAAUGGUUCAAAUAAUCUGGAAAAUAUUUUGCCUACAACCAAAUUUAGACUUUAGAUGUCAAAUUCUGAUUGUUUACCUCAGCAUUGGAAAAUUUGGGUAAGCCUUAUGUUGAUAUUGAUUAGCAGCACGAAACCCAAUAACAGGUGAUCCACAUUUCGUAUAAAUGAUUUCUUCAAAACCAAGGUGGGGCCGAGGGAACAUAUUCCACCUUUCAGAACGGGGCAUUUGAUUCUGCAAUAUGCAUUUCUUGGGAUGCAUGGAAAUUAGAACGAGUUUUUCAAACAGCUCUUAGAUUUCCCUCAUCCAUGUAACCAAGUCAUAGCAGCGUCGUCAAGUGUCUACCUCCAUCCAGCAUCUUCCACAUCAGCACAACCUGCAAGACAAAGGGGAUAUAAGCAAUGCAGAUCAUCUUAUCACUCGAUGAUUACAAAAUUAAUGAAACCAAUAGAUGAAAGGUUAAUUGCCAGACAGAGAAAGAGAGAGAAAGAGAGCAAACAAAAAAAAAAAACAGAACAAUUGCAUUAAUGGCUAACCCAGCAAGGAUUUAACUACAGUAUACAAUCACCAAUGGAUGAAACAAAUGCCGCUAGUCUAAACUACCAGAAGUUAAUACUACUGCUGGAGCCUUACUCCCUGAGGUUCCAAAUCCUGUUUUUGUUGAUUUCAGACCAAUAAGCAAAAUUUAAUGCUCAAUACUAGCAACAUCAAAAUAUCCAUCUUCUGCAUCACCAAAUGGUUGGUUUUUUUUUUAUGUUUGAUCCCUCUUCACAAGUAUACAUUAAAUAUACUUCACAACCAACAUCAGAAGGUACUACAAGAAAGUAUCACUAUAUGUUGAGAAAUAAAGCAUUCAGGACUUGUGUUCUGCAAAAGUUAAAUUCUAAGAUCGUAACGUAAAAUUUUAAAAUCAAUAUAGCUUACAUUUAAUAAAAAGAAGAGCCCAGACUUUUGGGAAUGAAUAGUGGAACCGAGUAGCACCUCAUCUUCUUUCCAGAGUAAUAAUUUAUAAAUACUUCGACAACCAAGGAAGUUCUGAGCAAUCUUUCAAGGCAAAAGCGACAUCAUCACUGCCAUAAAAAAAAAAUAGAACAAGUAUUAUAUCAGUUUUUAAAUGUAUCAAGCCGCUUGGUGCUCUUAACCAAAUAACUCUACUACAUUUCCCAAAAGAAUGAUGCUGAAGAAAGUAGCAAGUGUAAUUUUUUUUUAUACAAAUUAAUAUAAGUCUCUGAAGCUCUAUGCUUGACCCUGGGUCAAAUCAAAGAUAAUAAGGCAGAAGGAAAUGAGAAUAUAGCUGAUAGUCUACUAUCCAAAGGUCAUAGCUGGUUGUUUCAAGGGGUAUUGGUGUCAUUACAGAAUUGUUAAAUGAUAGACGUUGGAAACUUCCCAUGAUGCACACUAAUUUCGGAAGUCCAAAACUUUAUAUACGAAGAUCAAGUGGCAGCAGUAAAACAUUUUCACGUGUAUGUACAACCAAACUAAAAUCAAUAAACAGACAAAACCUUGAGUACCAAAUUUAUGACAAUUACAUCAAUGAUUUAUAAAGUGCUUAUAACAAAGAUAUUACUGUCCUAGUUGUAUUAAAAAGAUCAUAUAAUUCUUUCUUAUAAGUUACAUUUACCGGACAUAAAACAAGCGUUGUACCGUUUACAGUCUCCUAUAAAUUUCAAGGGCAUCAGCAUCAUCUUCAUCACCAUCUUCAUCAAAUAUGUUAACUAAACGAAGACAAAAAAAUGGUAGUAGGAAAGAACAUGGAAAUGGAGGUUUAAAUAGCUGGUUUUGGAUCCGAAAUUGAUCGAUCCAAUCAGCUCCAACAUAAGAGAGCACGAAAUUUAUAAUCAGAUGAUCAUGUAGGCAUUAAAUACCAUUGAAAAACUUGAUGCUCAUCACUGUUAUUACCCUCUAUUAGUAUCCUUAGGAGUUCUUAUGUAAGAUCAUCUAAUAUUUCAAGAACUGUGUGCUUCACAAGAUAAAAAUCUGACAAUGGCAUUGUAGGAAUACUGGCAGGUGAAUUACAUGCUAGGUUUAAUUUUGCAUAAAUUCUAAAACUGUCAAUUGAGCUAACAUGCCCAAUCUUAUGAUGCCAUAAGCAAUCUUGCAGUCAACCAAUUUUCAUCCAAAAUUGCAUACAAUUUUCGCUGUAUAGAACAGACAAAGCCAUCUUCGUAGCCAGCAAGAUGACUUGCAACUUCUGUAUCAAUAUUUGGUCCAACAAGGUGAAGGAAGCUUAACUAUAAAAAAAUGAGGGUAACAUGUAGGCCAAAGACCAGCCUCCCUCAAAACUCAUUCAAUGUUCUGCAAAACAAUAUCUACAUAAUUUUAUCCUAAAAACAAACCAAAAUUUCCAAGCAACAGAAGCUAACCUUGGGAAGUUGAGCUGCAAUUUUUGCAACCUAUGCUUUGUGCCUUCCUCACAAAGUAUUAUUCUACUCUCACCAAGCUUGCAACUGCAAUAAGAUCCAGCAGAACUUGGAAUAUUAACUUUCUAGAUAAAUGAGCAGGUCCACAAAGCAAUAUGAACAAGUACCUGAUAUAGCUAGCAUAACCAUAAUACAACAACUGAAAUUAUUAGCGAUCUUCACAUCAUAGUUCCACAUUUUGUCUUCUAAUGUUCCAGAUCAGAAAAGCUUAUAUAAGCGGCCUAGCACUUGGCAUUAUUUUGCACAACUCUCUUUUCAAUGAAUGACUCAAAUAAUCAUAACUUGUAUGAGAAUCAGAUGUUAACUUAAACAGGUGCGAAAUGACAGAUAUGCAGUUCUAAAAGUGAAGAUUCAAAUAUUAACUUCUAAUAUUUUCCUACAGAAAUAAGCAGCACUUUCAUUGACAGUAUCUUUUGUAGAAUUAGCAGUCUGUUGUGGCAUGUGUUAUGUUUUCUCUAUCAUUUUCCACUUUCAAUGUUUCAAUACAAUCUUUCUGCACUAAUAGCAUGCAAAUUAUUUGGGCAAAGAUUAGGAAGCUAGCUACAUAUGCAAAAUUUUGAUUAAUCCUUACCCAACUUUCAGGAGUGUAUCCCAUCCAGGUGAUGCUUCCUUAUUGCUCGUGCACAAAGAGGCAACAGUGGUAGCCAACUGCAGCAAGGAGAUACUGUAUAAGGCUAAAGCAUAAACUGCAAGCAGAAAGAAUAGCUCAAGGCAAGUACUUAACGGUAUAAUACACAUUAGAAAGCAAAAAAAAGGAAUAUAAAGCAGAAGAUGCACGAUCUGCUUCUCUAUUAUAAGAUGAACUGCAAUUGGAUUCUAAACAUGCUUUUACAAAAGAUGGUGCACUAAAUGAAAACAUCGGAUAAAACACCUUGUGCUUGCAAACUACUGAAAGCAGUCGACUUGCUAGAUAUUAAGUUAUUAACUAGUGCUGCACAUGUGAAAAACAUACAUCUUGUUCAUCGCUCAUCGGUAUUAGCAGACCACACUGUUUAUCAAGAAGAUAUAAAGUUCUAAUACAAAUAAAGAUAUAGAAUAAAAAGUCAAAAAAUAAAUAAAUUUUCAAUGCAAUGAUCUCAUCAAUAACUAGAUCCACAAAAUUAAACCUUAUAAAAGCACCAAUAAAAAAGAGCAAACAGGAGUAAAAAUGAAUGGAAUAAUGUGCAUCUUCGUCAUAGAUCACACUCUACAUAUGAUCUGUGGAAGGUUAGUUCAAUUUAAUAGAAUAUCCAGAACUGCUACAUCAUUCACUAUCACAGGGUAACCAUGAAUAUAUCAACCGAUUUUCAUACAGAAAGACAACAUUAUUAAAAAACCAUUCACAUGAAAGAAUAAUUCAAAAAUAUUCGCUGCCACAGGGUAAACAUGGAUAUAUAACUAGUACUCUUGAGAUGUUAAGAUCAUGUUAAUUAAAAUAUAGAGGUUAUUUCAUCUUAACACAAAACAAACGGAAAAAGACAGACCUUUUCAAAGUUUGUUUCACCCAAUCCACUUCUAUAAAGUUCAUAGACCAUAGCCACCAAGAAAAUUUUGCCGAGUCUUGAAGCAGUUUUCAUUAUCUGUGAGGCGGAUAAAUAUCAGAUUUAAAAUGGUAUCAUGACUUACAGCAAUAAACUAUUUGAAUCCUGAAUAUUAUUCUUGGGCACAUUCAUGUCAAGUCAAAUUAAUAUCCACCCAUUACCAUUUAAAACCAUAGCUGUGACUAAGAGGAAAAUAUAUGUUCAAUCAUUGAAAUUUUUUACUUACUUGAAUAUGUGGUGCCUGAAACAAUUCAUGUAUGGCAGCCUCUAUAUCAGCCAUACCAACAAGCCGUUUUCCUGAAUGUAAACCCAAUGAAGCUCAAACUAAGAUAUAUGUGAAUGAUAAAUGUCUGAGAUUUUGAAAAUUGAAGUGUUAACAAAAAAACAACAAAACAUUUAAGUAUCCAAGUGGUUUCAACCAGACAAUAGACACACUAAAUAUAACCAUGUUUUGAAAAUUACAUACAAUAAAGCACUAAUUAGAUACUGACGUACGAAUUUUUUAAGAUGAGAUACUUCUUUAUUUUUUAUUUGCAGAAAAUUCAAUGCCUACUUCUCUAAGUACCUUCAAAAGAACCAUCAACAGAUUCUGAUGGCUGUUUGCACAACGGUGAUUGCUUGAAUUGAUAAUCUGCUAUUUCAGCUGCCCGCCUACAUAUCUCCAGUGCCCGUCUAGCAUCGCCUGACAUAGCUGCAACCUGAUUGUAUACGAAAUGUUAUGCAUCACAUAUAACAAAAGUGUGAAUAUUAAGCAACUGCAGAACUUAACUUGGAUGCAUUGAUAUCACUAGAUGCAUUAUUUUAGUCUAAAGCACUCACACAUUAAUGAAUAACACAUUCUUUACCUCAUUGUCAUUUGAUGCUUCGGCUUGCGUUCAUGACAUACAAAUGAAUGUAUCUCGAUGAAGUAAAAAUUAGGACUUACCCCUUUUAGGCUUAUUACUCCCAAAUCUAGAGAAAUGUUAAAGGUUAUAUGAUGGACUGGAAAAGCAUAAACAACAUCCAUCAUGAUAGCUUAGCAACUACAUAAUCUAUAAUGAAAUCGAAUAAGAUCUAUGCUUAUGAGAUCUGACAGAAGUUAUAGGUAGCGGUUGGCAUCCUAACCCAACCAUCAAGCUCCAGUGUUUUCUUACCGUCAGCCCAAACAUGGAAGGAUCAAGAUUAUUCUAGGUCAUAACAGAUGAUGUAAAGUUAGUAAGGUCGCAUAAGCAUGGAUCUUAAUCUUCCACAAAGUCACAUCAUGCUUUAUUUUUGUUCUUAAUUAGCUAAUACAUGAAUGGAAUGCAUUGUUCUAUAGUAUAAAAUGCAGCAAUCAAUGUACUGAUCAGUGUCCACAUAAUGAGUGUGCUCAAAAUUCCAUACUUCCAAUACUCUGGUUAUUGUUGAGUGCAUGCAUACUGGCAAAAAAGGAAUGUGCCUAGAAAAUGGUUGCUUGGUACAUCAAAGAACCCCAUGUCAACACCAUGCCGUCAGACAUGUGACUACUAGCAUCAGUCGUGAACCCAUAAAUCCAAGCAUUGAUUUUUAAGUAAAUUUCUGACUAAUAAGACCUCCAAAUGGUGUAUGAUGGUCAUGAGAUUACCUUCCUGGAAGCAAACUCAACAGCUUGUUCCUCAAAUGCAUCAAGGCCUUUAAGACGGCUAGAAAUGAUUUCUUGUAAUUGUUGAUAACUAUAAGGCCCAAAACAUAGCCGCUGAAUCCCCAUUCUGCUUGAAAUGCGUGGCAAUAACUUUUCAGGAAGAUCCAUAGUGUUUGCUAUUCCUGAAUAUAAUUUAUCAAAAGAAAAUAUGCAUUCAUAAAAUUAAUUGAGAUGAAAAUCAAAUAAAAGCAAAGAAAGAAGAAUGACCAUUUGAUACCUAUCACAACGAGCUUUGAUUGUGGUUUAGUAGGCCAAUCAAGAAUGUUAUACAAAACCUGUGUAAAAGAUAUAAUUUAAAGUUUUAAUACACUAUCUAUGAACCAAAUUAACUCAAAAAGAAUACUAAAAGGCUUCUUCUUCAUCCAAUAUCAAUCUUUGUGAUGUUAAGAAGAAAUAGAUACAUCAAUAGCAAGAGUUACCGAUUGGUUUCUAGUCAAAAGAAGAUCAAGCUCAUCUAUAAGCAAAACACAAGGUCGAAGCUCAUUGUUGCUGACUCCACCACCCUUGGAAAAACGUUCAUUCAAAAGAUGAAGAGCAGUUUUCCAUCCAACCCUGUAACCACUUAGUGCUUCAUAGAUUACCUGAACUUAACGGGCAUGUUUAGUUUAAUGAUCAAGAUCGUACAAUAAGAUCAAAUGGCUAGAAGAAAAGCUAAACCAUACUUUGUAAAUAUUCUCUGGAGAAGCUAGUUUCAGACCAUUAAUAUCUACAAAGGUAUAGGGCCUCACAGUUCGUGCAUCGACCUCCGACCUCAGAUUUCUCAUUGCCGCAAGUACAGACAUAGUCUGCAGUUUGAUGCAUGUCAAGUGUCAAAAAACAAUUGGACCAUCUACUUUUAGCAAACUAAACAAAAUUAACAGAAUGCGAAAGCCAUUAAGUCAAACUGCCUACCUUGCCAGUUCCUGGAACACCAUGAAUAUAAAGGCAGCGUCCUGAACAAUGAUCAUCAGAAAUAGCACCUCUGAUGAAUGCAGUUAUCUCUUCCAUUUCUCUGAUACAUAAACUCCAAGUUAUAAUUAGCCUAAAAAUGGCGUUAAAACAAGUGCAAAUUAAUCAGGUCAUGAUUACUUAGUCCUGCAAGGAAGUGAUUUGGGCAAAGUUGCUAGAAGCAACAUGGCUUUGGCCUUCUCCAAAUCAGUCUGCUUAGAGCAUCGUGCAUGUUCAGGAAUUCUUUUUAUACCAAUCUUUUGAAGACCAAAUGUCCUUCCCUUGCGUAUGUUCUGAAAGAUAAAUAUAGAGUAAAUCAUCUGAAUAGUAUCCCGAAACAGUUAGGGUAAAUUUGAAAAAAAACAUACGGCUGCUGACUCAUGUCUCCUCUGAGCAGAAUGGUUCACCCUAGCAAGUUCUUCACACUCCGAAUCUUCAUCUGUAUCAGGAUCCUUGGAAAUUUUCCAAUCUUCAUCACUUUCAACUCCUUUGUCAUUCUAACAUGAGAUAAAUAAAAGAAGCUCAAGCUUCGUACAUGCUAAUAACAGUCAAGUUUUCUCCAGAAUGUCUACUUUAUUCCAAGAUCAAGCAUACCUCAAUGGCAUCAUCAAUAUCUGUUAGACGCUUGAAGUUGUGCCAGUGAAUGUCAUACUCAUAUUCACAAUAAAAUACAUCAUCUCCCUCAUUGCUGGCUUCUUUAUAGUUGUUUGGACUCAUAACAUAGCAAUGCCGAAGGACAGACUCGAUCUGCAGACAACCAGAGUUUCAGGUCCUUAGAACAAACAAAUAGUAAUUAAUCCAUGUCAUAAGAAGAUUUAUCAUCCAAAAUACAUAUUGAAAAGAAAACAUGAUUGUUUAAAAAAUGAUAAAAUAUUAUAAAAGUUAACAUGGUGGAAUUUUUGGGGCUCAAGUGCAGAACAACUAGUGAUUUGACUAGGAUCAAGUAUAUUGAGUCCAGGUAGCAUCUCCAACUUUGUAGGACGCCAAUAUUCUUCUUGUUCUACAUUGCAAAAUUGGGCUUGAUUUGAUCGUAAUUUACUUUUGAUACUGGCAUUCAAUCACUCAUAAAUUUUGGUUUAUUAACUGGAUAUGACAUUCCACCAGAUCAUUUUGCCCCCUAGUCAAAAUCCACUAGAAAUUGAGUUGCUUUCUAAGCCAAAAAAUCAUUCUAAUAUGGCAGAAGGAAUCGAUAGAUUUAAUUAAGUAUGAUUGUUUGGGGUGGUCCUUAGAAAUCUUGUUGCAAUUCAGAAUAGAUAAGAGAUUGUGAGUCAUUUUUAGUUUGUCAAUGGAUUUCCAUUUUGGGUUAUUGAAAAAUCUCUUUUCUAGCUAGCGCUAUGUGUAUGUAUUCAUUUUAGAUUUCGUCAGGAAUAUAGAGAUGGACCCAACUGAAGGAAGCAGCAAUAGCAUUAACCAGGCAAGAUAUCAAAAGAAAGAAAGGGCAGAGGAGUAGCAUUUUAUACCUCAAUAUCACCUAAAUCAUUUGUACGGUAUAGUUCCCUCCGCAGGUUAUGUGGCUGCCUCCCAACUGCAGUCUCUUCAGGAAUUAUGUACCACCGACAUUUUAGCCAAUAGGUACCAUCUGGUUCUCUCCACAAGCUGCUCAAAUCUCACAAAAAACAGAAUGCUAUCACUUAAUUUGACAAGCACUAAAUAGCAGUUUAAACACAAGAUGGACCUUAGAAGAUAAUGCUCAAGGCAUCAAUGGUAACUUUAGAACCAACAACGAAACACAUAUGUAGUCCCCUGGUAUCAGGCACUACCUCUCGAUUCGAGCAGCCCACAAAUCACUAGAAAGAAGCUUCUCCUUGGCAGUCCUCCUCAUUUUCCUCCCCUCGGGAGGUUUCGGCAGCUCCACGUCUAUACCCAUCUUCCGCGCCUGGCAGAACCCACAGAUCCAGUCCCCCUCCGGGAUCUUCCUUAGCGGCGGUUCCAAGCACACGAGAUGGAACCCCCCCAAGCAAUCAUCGCACUCGAUCAUCACUCUCCUGCCUGUCCGGAAGCAAAUCCGGCACUCCUCCACUUCCGGGUCGUCAUCGGCGGACUCCGGCGCCUCCUUCCUCUUCACGUACACGUCGUCCCCCACCUCAAACUCUCCGCCGUCGUACACCACCUUCUUGUAGUACACCCGCCCGUUCGAAGCUCUGGAGGGCUGGGAUCGUCUCCUCCUCUUCGAUUCCGGGGUGACAGGGGAGAAAGCGGAGGGCGGCUCGGUAAGCGGCGCCUCGUCGAUCUGCAGCGACCGCUUGGCCUUGCGGGCAGAUCUGGGUAUGUCGAGGCGGCCUGCAGCCGGGCCGGGGGUGAGAGGUGAUGCGAGGCCGGAAGCGGAGCGGUGCAGGCGGAGGGAGCGGCGCGGGGUGGCGGAUUCCGGCGUCGGAGGGACGAGCGGCGAGGGUUUGGGCCUCAAGGGAGUAGAUCUGGGCUUAGGUUUUCGUGGGGUGGCGUCCAUUGCCGCCGUCGUCGAUGAGAUCGCGAGGGAGAGUGAGAGUGCGGGCCUUUUAGGGCUUUGUUUUGGCGGUCAGAUGUGAGAGGAGAAGAGGUUUCAAAACACCGUGAAAGAGAGAAACGGUUUCCCAGGUAGCCGUUUCCCGUGAUGGUUUCUGCGAUGGAGUCGUUUCGGGAGGAUGGAAAAUGAAAAGGUUCGCCAAACGUGGAAAUAACAUAUUACCUUUCCAAAUAAUGUUAGGAUCAUUCACGUAUACACACCUCAUUAACAUCUAACCAAAUUUAAUUAUAUAAAUACUUUAAAUUUUUAAUAUUAUUACUAUCAUAAUAUUUUUAUCAACUCCGAAUCCGUUCUUAGAAUGCUUACACUUGAGAAAGAAAAAGUUCUUUGAAUGCGAACCAUAGGUCAUAAAUUAAAGUCUUCGUUCCUAAAAAAAAGAUUAUACAUGAAAUAUAUUCGGUAUCUCUUAACGCUCAUAUUUCAUUUGAGUCCUCAUUCAUGCAAAGGAUUACGCGUGAAAUACAUUCAACGAUAUCUUUUAUGAUAAUUUAAUUUACUUAAUAAAAAAUACUUAUAAAGAGCUAUAAUUUAGUUUAGUUAGUUCAAUACGAAAAUAUUGAUGUUGGCUUUAUAUCCAUAAUUAGUUGAUAUCAUGUUAAUAUGGUAUGUCAAGAUGACACUUGAGCAUCUCUAGGAUACAUUGGCAAACACACUUCAUUAUAUAUAUGUUAUUGGUUACACAUGUGAAAUGUCUACUGCGAUCAAAUUAGAUAUUAAAUUUUAAUUAUAAUUGAUCAAAACUAACUAUAUACAUCAGUUCAACUUAAAUCUAGAUUGGUAAAUAUGUAUUAUUUUCUAAAAUAAAUUAAAAGGGAUAUAUAAGUGUGUGUGUGCAAAACCAUAUACAUCAUCAGUUCAACUCAAAUACAGAGAGGUAAAUAUGAUUUUUUUUAAGUUAAAGAUAUAUAUGUAUAUAUAUGUAUAUAUAUAUAUAUGUGUGUGUGUAAUAUUGAAAAAAGGAAAUUUCUUUCAUCAUGGUUGUGUAAGAUUAAGAAUACAUUUAAUUUGGUUGUCAUCCAGAAGAGUUUAUGAACAUCAGUUCAACUCAAAUACAGAGGUAAAUAUGAAGUUUUGACAGUCAGAAGCUUUGAUGAGUUGAUGAUUGGGGAAGUAAAGGCCUUGAUGAACUCCAACCAUGAAUGACCACACCUUUCUUACCAUGCUUUGACCCACCAUUGAACAUUGAUGCAAUCUAAAAGCUUAACUUGCUAAGUUCCAAGUUUGAUUUAACUAAACUCUUUUUUUCUUUAUCUUUUAUGUAAUUUUGAUGCAGCUGCUACCUCAUCAUCUUCAUCUUCUUCCUCCUCUUCUCUUUCUGUUUCUUUUGCAGCUGCUUCCCCAUCACCUUCUUCUUCUUCUUCUUCUGCUACUCUUUCUGUUUCUUUUACAGCAGUUGUUCUUUUUGUUGUAGUAACUGCUUCCUUCCUGCCAUCACCAUCUCCUACUUGUCCUCCUCCUUUCUUCUUGGCUGUGGCUGUAGCUUCUUUUGCUGCCUCCUCCUUGGUUGAAACUGGAGGAGUAGGCUGUUGUAGGUUUCCAUGAACUCAAACAGUGGUGUGCAUGUUAAACCAGAGGUUGUAACCAAAAGCAUGCAAAAGUUUCCUAAUCACACUUGAGUACUGUCCCAGUUGAAAAGCAAGAACUUAGCAAGGAUGUAUAGACUUUUUGAUCACACAUGAGUCUAAUAUUGCAUGCAUGAAUGCAUGCUAAGUAAGCCAUUCAUGAUCACUGGUGAGCCAUCUUGUCAUGGCUGCUCUCUGCCAUAUGAUCUUCCACCCAAAUGAAUUGAUAAAAGAGAAGUUGGUCUCAUCUGGUCCAAUUCCUUGGCCAAUAAGUGAAAAGUUGGUCUCUUUGGCACUGCACAAAAGUCAUAAGAUUUGAGCUCCUGACACUGUCACCAAAAAGAUAUGUUUUAACUUCACAAGGACCAACUGAAGCUACAUGUGUUUGCCAUGGUGCCAAAGCAUGGUACAAGAGGGCCAUGGGAAGUAUCUGUUGCUUUUAGCUUACUCAAGAUGCUUCUUGCACAGGGAUCAAACUUAGAGGACCAGUCAAAAAAAUUGAUGUCAUGAACACACAGUCUCACAGCCAACACUAAGCCAGAAUUAGAUGCUUAUCUGUUCUUACCAAAUUCUCUUUUUUCCUUUUGUCUUUGGGACAGAGGGCAUCACUUGAAUCUGGUAACUGCAUAUUACUUCAAUUGUUUGCCUGAGAGAGAGAGUGUGUGUCAUAUGCUAUACAAGAUUCAAUUUUAUGAAUAUUAUUAUGAUCUUAUCACUCCCUAUUUCUAGAUUGUCUCAGCUCAAAGUUGAAUUUGUUGGGAAUGUAUAUUGUAACAUAUGAACUCUGCGUAAAAUCAAUCGUCUAUUCGUAUUAUAUAAUUAAGUCAAUUCGAUCAACUUCUUGAAAGUCCUCAUGACUCGAGAGUCAAUUUAUCGACGACACAUAUCCUAAGGAGCAUAAUUCCCCGUAGUAAGUUUAUCAUAUCGUGAGCAUCACCUAUAAAACUAAUGUCAAUGGCAAAUUAGUUUGAGAUAUAAAAUUUUAGGUUCUAAAUCUUCUCUUUAUAAAGUGGUGAGAAGAAUAUUCCUAAAAUAAAUAAAAAUCCUUCCUUCCCUACAUAUGCUGACGCGAACUCUGUAUGUCAAGUUACGAUUGAUCGAAAACAUUAAUCGUAGCACAUUUUAAUCAAUAUUAGUGAAUGUAAAAAUUGAGACAUGAGUUGUGUGAUUAAUAUAGCUGAUGAAGAUCAAGAUAUGUAAAAUGAAGAAAAACUAAAAAAGGAGUACAGCAAAGAAAAUGGUAAAGCUUCAAGUAGAGUGGGCAAGAAUUUAAUAGCUGAAAUCACCACAUUCCUAAGAUUGCAAGAAACAACUUCACCAACCACUGAGGGUAAAGCCUGAGUGACACAGGACUGACUCCAUCCAUGGCUUCGAUAGAUUGUCUCAUGGAAGCAACCCAAGGGUUGGUUUUGUAUGCAUCUUUACGUAGUACGUGGACUUGGAAGCUUAGAGACUGUGUGUGUAUGUAUUCAACUAGGGAAUUAGAUUGCAUGGCAGUCAUGAAAUCCAUGCGUAGACUCCAUGCAAAGGCUUGUACUCGUACAUACUCUAUUGUCUCAUCCCCUUCCAAAUUUAUACAUGUUCAUGAUGGCUCAGAGAGAAAGAGCUGAGAGAUUAUGUGAAGUCCAAGCAAAUGGGCUUAGCUUCACAACAAAACAAUCCCCUCUCUCUCUCUCUCUCUCUCUACCAACCUAACNNNNNNNNNNNNNNNNNNNNACAACAAACAACUACCCUCCUCUCUCUCUCUCUCUCUCUUCCAACCCUAACAUGAUUACCUUGUGAGUGAAGAUAAAUGCAUCGAAAAAGACAAGAACUGGAGUCAAAGACAAGAAGUCCCACCCACUCUCUCUCUCACUCUCUCUCACGCACACACACACACACAUAUGCACGCACGCACAGACACAGAGGUUUGAGGAGACCUGUAAUGUCCAUGUCCAAACCGUUUCCUGCCCGACCAGCAACAGCAACAGUACUCGUCCCCUCUCUAUUCCCUUCUCCGAGUUCUAAGCAAAGUUCACAGCCAUCACCAUCACCAUCACUGCAUAUCUUUCCUUCUCUUUCUUUUCUUCCAUCACCUUCUGCUUAACUGUGAAUAUAUAUGCUCGCCUUCUUCCCGGUCCACAUGAAGUGAUCCACACACUGCGGCCAGAUCUGCGAUAAUGAGGAAGCCGGAUGCUCCUCCCAGUGGCAGCACCGGCGGUGGAGGUAACAAGCUGAGGAAGGGGCUGUGGUCGCCCGAGGAGGACGAGAAGCUCAUGAACUACAUGCUUAGGAACGGGCAAGGGUGUUGGAGCGACGUCGCCCGGAAUGCCGACUUGCAGAGGUGCGGCAAGAGCUGCCGGCUUCGGUGGAUCAAUUACCUGCGCCCUGAUCUCAAGCGCGGCGCUUUCUCCCUCCAGGAAGAGGAGCUCAUCGUCCACCUUCAUUCCAUUCUUGGCAAUAGGUUCUCUCUCUUCUCCGGACUGGGUUUCUUUGCGUGCAUUCGUCCCACCGGAUACUGAACCUAAUCCACUGCGUGCAGGUGGUCUCAGAUCGCUGCGCGUUUGCCUGGUCGAACUGACAACGAAAUAAAGAACUUCUGGAACUCCACCAUCAAGAAGAGGCUAAAGAACUCCAACAACAGCGGAGAUGCGGAGACCAGAGGAGGAGCCGCGAGCCUUGCACACGUAAAGGAGCAUCAACUGCAGGGCAUGUACGUGGACUCCUCCUCCUCCUCGUCGUCUUCUUCGAUGCCUGGUGGUUUGUUCAUGGCCAACCAGUAUGACCUGCUGCCCCUCCCCGAGGUCGGCUGCGGCAUGAUCAGAGUCGAAGACAGCUCCUACUUCCACGAACCACCAACCGUAGCCCAAGCCGGCAUGGAGAAUGGGUUCUAUGGGGAUGGCCAGGGAGUGAUGAUGGUGGAAGGAGGCCUCAUGGGAGGAGGAUGCGAGCUCUUUGUGCCCCCUCUCGAGAGCAGUCAAGAAGAGACCCUCAUGAACGAUGGAGGUGCAGGGAGCAUGGUGAGCAGUGCCGACAUCAGCAACAGUGGUGAUGUGAACAAGAUCCAAAGCGGAAUGCUUUGGGAGGACGAGGACAUUAGAGUGGGGGAGUGGGAGUUGGGAGACUUGAUGAAAGAUGUCUCUUUUCCUUUCCUUGAUUUCCAAGUCGAAUGAUGGGACAUUCAUUCCACAGGUAUAUCACCUCCACAACCCAUCUCUCUUUCUUCUCCUUUCCUCAACCUUACAUCUGCUUGCCUUUCUCUUGCCACUACAUAUACAGCAUGCCAAAUAUGUUUCAGAUACAAAAGAAGAAGAAAACUCGGUCAAGCUAAUUGAUUAUGCUGCUCAAUUCUUUGAAGCCUCUUAAGCUUCUUUGUUACUCCACAAAAUCCAUAUUCACCAAUAAAGUACAGGCAACGUUUGGUUCUCAUUCUCCUUCCUCACCUCUGCAGAUGAAGUUAUGUAAAUAGGUUCAUGGUGUUCAAGGGGGAUGACAAGGAAAUAUAUACAUACAUAUGAUUCUUGGUUCAUGGAAGGUGGUUUUAGGGUGUGAUUCAACAACAUUUGCAAUUGAGGAAAUCAUAUGUACCAGUGAAAGAUAGAAAUUAAAUGAAGCAAAUUUUUUUUAUUUGUUUUUUUUUGCAUAUAAUAGAGGCAUCUAUGAUUACAAGUUUCCAGAUGAAGGAAAGGAGGAUUCUAUGAAAAGCUUUGUACUACUCUUUUAUUUUAAAUGCGACAUAUGUUUCUCACCACCAUGGUUGGUAGUAAAAGUAUGUGUGGAGUGUGGGAUGAUGACUUUUCUCAUUUGCUAUGGUACAUGGACCAAAACUAAAUGAUAGAAAGGUGGUGGGGCUGUAUGAAACAUGUUCUUGGUACAGCUCUUGAUGGCAAUUGUCAUUAUCAAUUUGAAAAGCAAUCCAACCUGGUAUUUCAAUUAUCAUUAUAAGCCAAGAUCUAAUUUUUUCUUGUUUUAGUCCACACAAGGAAAAUGAAUGAUAGGAUCCUGUAAUUAUUUGUUACACUCCUAAUCCAUUCAUUAGUAUAAUAAUUUAUAAAAUAUAUAAUUUAUAUUAUUUUUAUAUAUAAUACAGAUGCUCAGUUGUUGUGUGGAACUGUGGAGUCCUUUUUUGCCUAUCCAGUGAGAAAUCACAGGCAUCAAAGUGUUGUUUUUUGUCAGACUCAUCAUCAUGUUGUUCACACACACACACACACACAAAUAUAUAUAUAUAUUUACACACACAUUACUGUCUCUAGCUUUUUAUGUUAAUACACAUCCAGGGAGUGAUAAAUCCCUGUCAAUUAAGGGUCUUAACAGCUGAAAACAAAGACAAACAUUUCAGGGUUGGAAAGGAGAGUUUGUAUACGGAAUCAAGUGCUGAUAUGGAGAUUUCUACCAAAAAAAAGGCAGAGAAUUUGAUCACAUAUCCACUCAGGCAGAGAAUGUCAAGCUGAAGUCUCUUUAGAUGGUACAAAGUACUUGAAUAAUACAAGUCUACUGAAAAUUUGUUGCAUAAGUUACUUUCUGGUAGUCAAGCCUCUUUAGGAACAAAAAUGACCGAAAAUAAAUCAGAAGUAUAUUGUAUUGUGUUAUACUUUGGAAACUCGACAUGGGCACACGACGGCCGCAAAUAGCAGACUCAAGAGAAUCUCUUGAUGGCCGCAGCAGAAGAUUGGAACUAGUAGGUCAGCCGGUUUUACUGGCUUCCGCGUUUUUCUUUCUCUCUUUGAGGAGCUUGAUCUUAUCUUUUUUCCGUUCUUGACCAAUCU